UGACAAUUAUUGGAGGCGUGCCCGAAGGCC
rnacentral:sRNA from 1 species